rnacentral:rRNA from 2 species
ACGGGAGGCAGCAGUGGGGAAUAUUGCACAAUGGGGGAAACCCUGAUGCAGCGACGCCGCGUGAGUGAAGAAGUAUUUCGGUAUGUAAAGCUCUAUCAGCAGGGAAGAAAAUGACGGUACCUGACUAAGAAGCCCCGGCUAACUACGUGCCAGCAGCCGCGGUAAUACGUAGGGGGCAAGCGUUAUCCGGAUUUACUGGGUGUAAAGGGAGCGUAGGCGGCACGGCAAGCCAGAAGUGAAAACCCGAGGCUCAACUUCGGGAUUGCUUUUGGAACUGUCGAGCUAGAUUGCGGGAGAGGUAAGUGGAAUUCCUAGUGUAGCGGUGAAAUGCGUAGAUAUUAGGAGGAACACCAGUGGCGAAGGCGGCUUACUGGACCGUAAAUGACGCUGAGGCUCGAAAGCGUGGGGAGCAAACAGGAUUAGAUACCCUGGUA